UGGGAAACCUGCCCAGAAGAGGGGGAUAACACCUGGAAACAGAUGCUAAUACCGCAUAACAACUUGGACCGCAUGGUCCGAGUUUGAAAGAUGGCUUCGGCUAUCACUUUUGGAUGGUCCCGCGGCGUAUUAGCUAGAUGGUGAGGUAACGGCUCACCAUGGCAAUGAUACGUAGCCGACCUGAGAGGGUAAUCGGCCACAUUGGGACUGAGACACGGCCCAAACUCCUACGGGAGGCAGCAGUAGGGAAUCUUCCACAAUGGACGAAAGUCUGAUGGAGCAACGCCGCGUGAGUGAAGAAGGGUUUCGGCUCGUAAAACUCUGUUGUUAAAGAAGAACAUAUCUGAGAGUAACUGUUCAGGUAUUGACGGUAUUUAACCAGAAAGCCACGGCUAACUACGUGCCAGCAGCCGCGGUAAUACGUAGGUGGCAAGCGUUGUCCGGAUUUAUUGGGCGUAAAGCGAGCGCAGGCGGUUUUUUAAGUCUGAUGUGAAAGCCUUCGGCUCAACCGAAGAAGUGCAUCGGAAACUGGGAAACUUGAGUGCAGAAGAGGACAGUGGAACUCCAUGUGUAGCGGUGAAAUGCGUAGAUAUAUGGAAGAACACCAGUGGCGAAGGCGGCUGUCUGGUCUGUAACUGACGCUGAGGCUCGAAAGUAUGGGUAGCAAACAGGAUUAGAUACCCUGGUAGUCCAUACCGUAAACGAUGAAUGCUAAGUGUUUGGAGGGUUUCCGCCCUUCAGUGCUGCAGCUAACGCAUUAAGCAUUCCGCCUGGGGAGUACGGCCGCAAGGCUGAAACUCAAAGGAAUUGACGGGGGCCCGCACAAGCGGUGGAGCAUGUGGUUUAACUCGAAGCUACGCGAAGAACCUUACCAGGUCUUGACAUACUAUGCAAAUCUAAGAGAUUAGACGUUCCCUUCGGGGACAUGGAUACAGGUGGUGCAUGGUUGUCGUCAGCUCGUGUCGUGAGAUGUUGGGUUAAGUCCCGCAACGAGCGCAACCCUUAUUAUCAGUUGCCAGCAUUAAGUUGGGCACUCUGGUGAGACUGCCGGUGACAAACCGGAGGAAGGUGGGGAUGACGUCAAAUCAUCAUGCCCCUUAUGACCUGGGCUACACACGUGCUACAAUGGAUGGUACAACGAGUUGCGAACUCGCGAGAGUAAGCUAAUCUCUUAAAGCCAUUCUCAGUUCGGAUUGUAGGCUGCAACUCGCCUACAUGAAGUCGGAAUCGCUAGUAAUCGCGGAUCAGCAUGCCGCGGUGAAUACGUUCCCGGGCCUUGUACACACCGCCCGUCACACCAUGAGAGUUUGUAACACCCAAAGUCGGUGGGGUAACCUUUUAGGAACCAGCCGCCUAAGGUGGGACAGAUGAUUAGGGUGAAGUCGUAACAAGGU
rnacentral:rRNA from 1 species